rnacentral:rRNA from 1 species
UACAGAGGGUGCUAGCGUUGUUCGGAAUCAUUGGGCGUAAAGGGCGUGUAGGCGGUUUGUUAAGUCAUGUGUGAAAAUCCCCUCGGCUCAACCGGGGAACGACGCAUGAAACUGGCAAGCUAGAGUACCAAAGAGGGGGGUGGAAUUCCCGGUGUAGCGGUGAAAUGCGUAGAUAUCAGGAGGAACACCGAUGGCGAAGGCAGGUCUCUGGGCAUUAACUGACGCUGAGGAGCGAAAGCAUGGGGAGCGAACAGG